GAUGAAGAACGCAGCGAAAUGCGAUAAGUAAUGUGAAUUGCAGAAUCCAGUGAAUCAUCGAAUCUUUGAACGCACAUUGCGCCCGCCAGCAUUCUGGCGGGCAUGCCUGUUCGAGCGUCAUUUCAACCCUCGACCUCCCUUUGGGGAAGUCGGCGUUGGGGACUGGCAGCACACCGCCGGCCCUGAAAUGGAGUGGCGGCCCGUCCGCGGCGACCUCUGCGUAGUAAACCAACUCGCACCGGAACCCCGACGUGGCCACGCCGUAAAACACCCAACUUCUGAACGUUGACCUCGAAUCAGGUAGGACUACCCGCUGAACUUAAGCAUAUCAAUAAGCGGAGGA
rnacentral:misc_RNA from 1 species